rnacentral:rRNA from 1 species
CCUACGGGAGGCAGCAGUGGGGGAUAUUGCACAAUGGGCGAAACUCUGAUGCAGCGACGCCGCGUGGGCGAAGAAGUCUUUCGGUAUGUAAAGCUCUAUCAGUAGGGAAGAAGAAAUGACGGUACCUGAGUAAGAAGCACCGGCUAAAUACGUGCCAGCAGCCGCGGUAAUACGUAGGGUGCAGGCGUUAUCCGGAUUUACUGGGUGUAAAGGGAGCGCAGGCGGAAAGGCAAGCCUGAUGUGAAAGCCCGCGGCUCAACCGCGGGACUGCAUUUGGAACUAGCGGGCUGGAGUGCCGGAGAGGUAGGCGGAAUUCCUGGUGUAGCGGUGAAAUGCGUAGAUAUUAGGAAGAACACCAGUGGCGAAGGCGGCCUACUGGACGGUAACUGACGCUGAGGCUCGAAAGCGUGGGGAGCAAACAGGAUUAGAUACCCCAGUAGUC